AGAGUUUGAUCAUGGCUCAGGAUGAACGCUAGCGGCAGGCUUAAUACAUGCAAGUCGAGGGGCAGCAGUCCCGACGCAAGUCGGGAGCUGGCGACCGGCAAACGGGUGCGGAACACGUACACAACCUUCCUUUAAGUGGGGAAUAGCCCGGGGAAACCCGGAUUAAUACCCCGUAAUAUAAUGAAGUGGCAUCACUUUAUUACUAUAGCAGCAAUGCGCUUUGAGAUGGGUGUGCGACUGAUUAGGCAGUUGGCGGGGUAACGGCCCACCAAACCUACGAUCAGUAACUGGUGUGAGAGCACGACCAGUCACACGGGCACUGAGACACGGGCCCGACUCCUACGGGAGGCAGCAGUAAGGAAUAUUGGUCAAUGGACGCAAGUCUGAACCAGCCAUGCCGCGUGGAGGAUGAAGGUCCUCUGGAUUGUAAACUUCUUUUAUCUGGGAAGAAAUCCACGAAUUCUUUUGUGGUUGACGGUACCAGAUGAAUAAGCACCGGCUAACUCCGUGCCUGCAGCCGCGGUAAUACGGAGGGUGCAAGCGUUAUCCGGAUUCACUGGGUUUAAAGGGUGCGUAGGUGGGUUGGUAAGUCAGUGGUGAAAUCUCCAGGCUUAACUUGGAAACUGCCAUUGAUACUAUCAAUCUUGAAUACCGUGGAGGUCAGCGGAAUAUGUCAUGUAGCGGUGAAAUGCUUAGAUAUGACAUAGAACACCAAUUGCGAAGGCAGCUGGCUACACGAAUAUUGACACUGAUGCACGAAAGCGUGGGGAUCAAACAGGAUUAGAUACCCUAGUAGUCC
rnacentral:rRNA from 1 species